UCUUAUGCUAAAGACUUGACUUCGUCACGUAAUUCAUACAGCUGUAGCCGGACUAAUUUGAAAGAUCACUUUUCAAAAAGCUGAUAAAAAUGCAGCGUUUGAUUUGAAGAAGAUUGCUGAUUCCAAACACACAUCAUUAGAAAGAAAAACAAACAGCAACUGCUGGCAGAAGCGAAGUUUGCAGCACAAUACAUGUACAAGGCAAUUUCCCCUCUCAAAAUCCUUAAUUCUCAUUAACAAAAGAAAUUAAACUGGCUAGGAAGUUCACAAAUGGCUAUCACAUGGCUUCUGGAUUCUGCAACUGUUGCAUAUGCCGACUGGUUGACAAGAAUCCAAAUUUUGAUCAUGAUGAUUUGAUGGGGAUGCUGCAUACAUACAUAUCUAGCUAUAGUUUCUGGGGGGAAAGCUGUGCUUGUCAUUUAAUAACACUGACAUCUCGCAAGAUCUGGUGAUACCUUGGCAAGUUUGUAAUUAAAAAAAAAAUCUAAAAUAUUCUGCAAAUGCCACAUUGCCACAUAUUAGUUAAAAGUAACAGGCUUGGGACUCCUUGAAAUAUGCACUGUAAUUUAGAACAGUUUGAGAUGUAGGUAUAUACCAAAAGACCAGAUUUUUAACUAGAUCACCUACAAUGACAAUCCUUCAAGGCAUCCUAAUUUCAGAGCACAGUGCAUACAAUCUAACUUUAGCCUUUUCUUUUUAAUUGCAUUCUUACAUUCUCUCUUUAAUAAUACAUCCUAAAUGAUAUGUCCCUCAAGGAAAUUAUUCGAAGUGGAAUUUGCAGGUUAUUAGUUUACUUAUAAUACAUUUUACAGCAGGUUUUACAGCUCAUUAAAUCUAUCCUAACUGGCCUUUCUGAAGCAUGGUAUCAAACUUAAGACAAUUCUUAUUUACUUUUUAUGUAAUUAUUUACUGUGAAUCAUCUUAAUAAAAAGCAGAAAUAUGCAAACAAGUUUUCAAAACUCCCAUCAACUUGAAUAGGCAAAAACACAUCACAAACCAUCAGUUUGUUCCUUAUUGCUUUCCAUGCUGCAUGCCAAUUUCAUCUGUUAUAAAUUAACUAAUGAAAAAGGACAAAAAACAUACAGUACAUUACUGUUUACAAAGAGCAGAUUUAUCUCAAACCCACUGAAAUGCGUAAUCAAUUCUAAAUGGCCACAAAACCCCAUUUUCUUAAACAGAAUUAUGAUACUGAAUAGACCUGUGAACUUGGACUAUAUGACUGAAAUUCAUUUUACAAACAUUUUGUUUCAGUAAGAUUCUCAUUUGACAAUUCAGGCAGAAAAAAAUGUUUGUCCAUGCGUGUACCGUGAGUGUGUGUUUUUGUGCUUACAAGUUUGGGUGCUAUUCCAUUUCUAUUUAUGAUAUAAAUAUAAAAGCAAUUCUUUAUUCCAUCAAAGAAUGCAGGGUAUGUGUGUGCGUGUAUGCGCACACAUACACACACAUAUACACAUGGGUAUUUAGAUAUGUUACAGGGGAAAUAUCAGUUUCCAUUCAUGAGUAGCUAAAUGGAUUUAACCAAUAUAAUAUCUUCCAGAUGACAACACACUAACUGGCAAUUAUGAAGUUUUAGCCCAAAAUUUGAUUUGGAAAGAGAAAGCAGAAUAUCAAGGCAAGCAAUUUAUACAUGAGAAAGAAUUGAAUCAAACACAAAAUUCAGAUAUGGAGAUUGUUGCACAGACAGCCUCGUGUGGUAUCUAUAUUUAAGGGCAAAUAUUAUUUUCCCAUCUUCUUAGACUACAAUUGAGUUCCAAUUUAUUUAUUAAUCUCUGAGUGUAAAUGCUCAAGAUUAAUUGAUAAAAUGCACUCAUCUCACUGUCAACUGUGGAUGAUGCUCAUAUAAAGGCCUGAAAGUAUUUUUAUAUGACACUGUAUUCAAGAUGUGAUUUGGAUUUAGUCAAAAACAAAUGAUCCAGGACAAUGUUUCUUAAAAUUUCCUCCCCUGACCCAAAAGCAGUUUUUCUUUAUAUGUGUUAUAUUUACUACA